ensembl:lncRNA
CAGAAAAGCCGUUGCUUUUGAUCUGAUGCUGUAUAUGUACACCGAUUUCUGAUGGCCAUGAUUUGAUUUAUUUUCCAAAGGAAAAUAAAGGAAAGAAAAUUCAACAGUUCCGCCUCCGUCUCCCUGAUGCUUGACCAUCGUUACAUGUGUCAGCUGUAUUAUUGGUAACUUUGCGUGGGAAAAGGGUGGUGGCGGCGAUUCUCAUGACAUAUCCGUGGACAAUGGUAUCUUGCCAUGCAGCUCCAACCCAGUGAUGCAAGAAGAAGAGGUUUCACCCUCCAGCUUGCAGGUUUGCAGUGGAGACUCAUUUGUCACAUAUUUAAAGAACAGCUCCUCUGUAUGCAGCUCCACCAUGGUGUCACAAGACACAAAGUUUGCCAAAGAAGCCAAGUUAAGCUUGGUAAACUACACAGACUCGGAUGAAUCAGCCGUCAGUUCCAACACUAAUGAAGAUGUUCCCUCAUCCACCAUACAGAGCAAAGAGAAGAUUCCUGUUGGAUUUGAUCUUUCUGACUCCAGUAUGACACAUGGAGAUGAUGUCCGACAAUUGAUUGUGCCAAGGCUUAGGAGGACCAAAAGCGUCUUUGUAAGUCCCACCAACAAAUGUCAGUCAUCGUCAUGUACUGUAGACAUCUUUGUGGUUGACAAAAUGUACUUACUUCAGUGGUCAAAGUUAUCACUGACGGGUAGUACGCGUACCCUUGAACGGGAGGCGGAACUCUAGAAGACGGAACCAGCCAGGUUGCGUUCAUCAGGUGAGGCCAACCUCGCGUGCGUUAUCCUCAUGGGAAAACGCUUGGUAACCAUUUGCUACCCGUUUGUUAUUUGCGCUUGUAAGCUCUUGGUUCUACCACCUAUCCUCUUUACAUGAACAAAAAGGACCCACCACCAGCAGGCU